GAGCACGUAGGUGGGUUUGUAAGCGGGGGAUGAAAGCCCAUGGCUCACCCAUGGAACUGUCCCUCGGACUGCAAGGCUCGAGGGCGGGAGGGGAGAGUGGAAUUCCCGGUGUAGCGGUGAAAUGCGUAGAUAUCGGGAGGAACGCCGGUGGCGAAAGCGACUCUCUGGCCCGUUCCUGACACUGAGUGCGCGAAAGCUAGGGGAGCAAACCGGAUUAGAUACCCUGGUAGUCCUAGCUGUAAACGAUGGGCACUAAGUAGAGGGGUUUU
rnacentral:rRNA from 1 species